CGUGCUUAACACAUGCAAGUCGAACGGAAAGGCCCUGCUUUUGUGGGGUGCUCGAGUGGCGAACGGGUGAGUAACACGUGAGUAACCUGCCCUUGACUUUGGGAUAACUUCAGGAAACUGGGGCUAAUACCGGAUAGGAGCUCCUGCUGCAUGGUGGGGGUUGGAAAGUUUCGGCGGUUGGGGAUGGACUCGCGGCUUAUCAGCUUGUUGGUGGGGUAGUGGCUUACCAAGGCUUUGACGGGUAGCCGGCCUGAGAGGGUGACCGGCCACAUUGGGACUGAGAUACGGCCCAGACUCCUACGGGAGGCAGCAGUGGGGAAUAUUGCACAAUGGGCGGAAGCCUGAUGCAGCAACGCCGCGUGCGGGAUGACGGCCUUCGGGUUGUAAACCGCUUUCGCCUGUGACGAAGCGUGAGUGACGGUAAUGGGUAAAGAAGCACCGGCUAACUACGUGCCAGCAGCCGCGGUGAUACGUAGGGUGCGAGCGUUGUCCGGAUUUAUUGGGCGUAAAGGGCUCGUAGGUGGUUGAUCGCGUCGGAAGUGUAAUCUUGGGGCUUAACCCUGAGCGUGCUUUCGAUACGGGUUGACUUGAGGAAGGUAGGGGAGAAUGGAAUUCCUGGUGGAGCGGUGGAAUGCGCAGAUAUCAGGAGGAACACCAGUGGCGAAGGCGGUUCUCUGGGCCUUUCCUGACGCUGAGGAGCGAAAGCGUGGGGAGCGAACAGGCUUAGAUACCCUGGUAGUCCACGCUGUAAACGGUGGGUACUAGGUGUGGGGUCCAUUCCACGGGUUCCGUGCCGUAGCUAACGCUUUAAGUACCCCGCCUGGGGAGUACGGCCGCAAGGCUAAAACUCAAAGGAAUUGACGGGGCCCCGCACAAGCGGCGGAGCAUGCGGAUUAAUUCGAUGCAACGCGUAGAACCUUACCUGGGUUUGACAUGGAUCGGGAGUGCUCAGAGAUGGGUGUGCCUCUUUUGGGGUCGGUUCACAGGUGGUGCAUGGCUGUCGUCAGCUCGUGUCGUGAGAUGUUGGGUUAAGUCCCGCAACGAGCGCAACCCUUGUUCACUGUUGCCAGCACGUUAUGGUGGGGACUCAGUGGAGACCGCCGGGGUCAACUCGGAGGAAGGUGGGGAUGACGUCAAGUCAUCAUGCCCCUUAUGUCCAGGGCUUCACGCAUGCUACAAUGGCUGGUACAGAGAGUGGCGAGCCUGUGAGGGUGAGCGAAUCUCGGAAAGCCGGUCUCAGUUCGGAUUGGGGUCUGCAACUCGACCUCAUGAAGUCGGAGUCGCUAGUAAUCGCAGAUCAGCAACGCUGCGGUGAAUACGUUCCCGGGGCUUGUACACACCGCCCGUCAAGUCAUGAAAGUUGGUAACACCCGAAGCCGGUGGCCUAACCGUUGUGGGGGAGCCGUCGAAGGUGGGACUGGUGAUUAGGACUAAGU
rnacentral:rRNA from 1 species